AUUGAACGCUGGCGGCAUGCUUUACACAUGCAAGUCGGACGAGUGGCGAACGUGUGAGCAAUAUAUUGGAACGUACCGAGUAAUGGGGGAUAACCAAUCGAAAGAUUGGCUAAUACCGUAUAUUAUGCGAGCGGCAAAUAUCUGAGUAGCUAGUUGGUGGGGUAAAGGCCUACCAAGGCGACGACCACUCGCGGGUCUGAGAGGAUGAGCCGCCACACUGGAACUGAGACACGGCCCAGACGCCUACGGGAGGCAGCAGUGGGGAAUUUUGGACAAUGGGCGCAAGCCUGAUGCAGCCAUGCCGCGUGUCUGAAGAAGGCCUUCGGGUUGUAAAGGACUUUUAUUGGGGAAGCGGUACCUGAAGAAGAAGCACCGGCUAACUACGUGCCAGCAGCCGCGGUAAUAC
rnacentral:rRNA from 1 species